GGAGGAAGCAGGGGAUCGCAAGACCUUGCGCUUUUGGAGCGGCCGAUGCCUGAUUAGCUUGUUGGUGAGGUAAAAGCUCACCAAGGCUUCGAUCAGUAGCUGGUCUGAGAGGACGACCAGCCACACUGGGACUGAGACACGGCCCAGACUCCUACGGGAGGCAGCAGUGGGGAAUUUUGGACAAUGGGGGCAACCCUGAUCCAGCCAUGCCGCGUGAGUGAAGAAGGCCUUCGGGUUGUAAAGCUCUUUCAGCCGGAACGAAACGGUUACGGUUAAUACCCGUGACUACUGACGGUACCGGAAGAAGAAGCACCGGCUAACUACGUGCCAGCAGCCGCGGUAAUACGUAGGGUGCGAGCGUUAAUCGGAAUUACUGGGCGUAAAGCGUGCGCAGGUGGUUUUGUAAGUCAGAUGUGAAAUCCCCGGGCUUAACCUGGGAACUGCGUUUGAAACUACAAAGCUAG
rnacentral:rRNA from 1 species